rnacentral:tRNA from 1 species
GCUGUCGUAGCUCAGUGGUAGAGCGCAUCCUUGGUAAGGCUGAGGUCGAGGGUUCGAUCCCCUCCGACAGCACCA